rnacentral:lncRNA from 1 species
GUGUGCACCACCCCCAAUGCUGUUCUCCAUUCUGCCACAUUACCUGGCCAUCCUCCCACUGCAGAGCCUCCCCUCCCUGUCCCACAAAUGUCCCUGCUGGGAACAUCCUCAGCAGACCUCGAGAGAAUUUCUCUGGGCUCUAUGAGCAGGAGCAAAAUGAGUGUGCAGAGGAUGUGGAUCACAAAUGUGAGUAGGUAGUGCCAGAGAGCUUUUCUGACUGGAAGCCCUGGUCUCUGCCCUCAGCAGCAGUGCCAAAGGACAGACCUUCUCUUCCCAGCCCAGCCCUGGCAUUAGCCACAAGAAGAUGAAGAUGCAGGCCCUGCUUGGGUUUUAGUAUAUUAACAGAGUUAUAAGACUAUCAUCAUUAUCUAAUUCCAGAACCUUUUUGUCACCUCAAGAAAACCUCACGCUGAGAAUUGCCUCUUGCACAAUUGUCUGCCAAACCCCGUUGUUAAUGAAAUGAAUGAUUUAGUUAUCCUUGUUAGUAAUGGCCCACACUGCACAAAGACCCAUUAUUGCAUCCAUGAGGCUGGCAGGAGUGCCGGCCAAGGCACCUGUGAGCGAUUCUUACAAUUAGCUCUCUUAUCAGCUUGAUUGGAGAGGAGAAGGCUAGAUGAGAUUAACACCUGAAAAUCUCUCUAUUAUGACUUGAGGGCCUACUAAUUUGGCCCUGAGAGGUGUGGCCCUUCCUAAUUUUGACAGUGAGAAAUAUAUCGCCCUGGGUCCUCCCUAAUCUAUAUGAUCUAUAAGCCCAAACGGCCUUUAAUAGGGGGCGGUCACAGGAGGUCAGCGGCCUCCUCCUUCACAGCAGCUAUGUGAUGUGGCUGAGCUCUGAGAAAGAGCACUUGGCUGUGGUGCAACUGGCCUAGAAUUCAUAGCCCCAUUCUCUUGAUCUGAGUUGCUUCUGGGGGAUGAGCGUGGCACCACAGCGUCUCAGGUGCUAUAUAGGGGACUUCCCAAGAGUUGCCCGUAUCAGUUGUAAGGUGCUGUCU